rnacentral:misc_RNA from 1 species
UCCGUAGGUGAACCUGCGGAAGGAUCAUUACUGAGUACCGGAGCCUUCGGGUUCCUACUCCCACCCUAUGUUGACUUUGAAUGUUGCUUUGGCGGACCGGUGGUCUCACCGCUGGCCUAGGCUAGAGAGCGUCCGCCAGAGGAUUUUGAACUCUGUUUAACGGUGAAUUCUGAGUCUUGAUAAAUGAAUCAAAACUUUCAACAACGGAUCUCUUGGUUCUGGCAUCGAUGAAGAACGCAGCGAAAUGCGAUAAGUAAUGUGAAUUGCAGAAUUCAGUGAAUCAUCGAAUCUUUGAACGCACAUUGCGCCCUUUGGUAUUCCGAGGGGCACGCCUGUUCGAGCGUCAUUUAAACCAUCAAGCCCUGCUUGGUCUUGGACGCGGUCGAGUGACCCGUCCGUAACCCGUUGGCGGUGCAGUCCGGCUUCAAGCGUAGCAAGAAUUUCGCUUCGGGAGUCCGCGGCGGCGUCUGCCAGGAAACACCACCCAAAGUUUGACCUCGGAUCAGGUGAGGAUACCCGCUGAACUU